GUGUGGUCACCCUACGUAAAUAUUUUAUAAUAUCAGUCAUAUAAAACGUUUAUAGAGUCCAUAUUGAUGUAUACACUUAAAAACAAAAAUAGUUCGUGUAUCAUGAUACAUUUUGUACGUGUGUGCGUGAACAGGGCGUUGUAGCCAUAGAAACGAGGAGGAUGCGUUAUUUAAAGUCACCAACUGACCUUCAGUUACUCUGCGAGCAGCGAGAGACGGAGAGAGACGUGCUGUGAGCUUUGAGCUGAGAAACCAGAACUUUUACCAGACCCACACAAAAGUCUCACUAGAGACUUCUACAGAACCAGGACCAGAACCAGAACCAGAACCAAACAGAGACAGACUUCAGCCCAGAGAAGAAGUAAGGACCAGGAGGAGACCAUGGGUCCUCGCAUGCCAGACGGAUUUUUUUCUGGCAGGGAAGAACCUCUGGAUUGGGUCCUAGGCUGGGGAGAACCAGAAGAACCCGAAGAACCCGAAGAACCAGAAGACCCAGAAGAACCCGAAGAACCAGAAGAACCUGAAGAGGACCUUCCUGAGGGAACUGUGUAUUACAUUUAUGAGGUGACUCCUGGCUGGGGGACCCCUGAGGAUGGAGGUGAGUAUUCUCAGGAGUCACCACUUGAACUCAUUGUCUUCAGGGAGAGCUGUUACCAUAGUGAUUCUACAGCCAGGUACGUAGACAGUUUUGAGGAACCUUCAUCGUCCGACUCUGACUGUCAGUGUGAGCCUGAGAGGAAGAGGCUGAGACGGGACGACAGCUCUGACUCAUCUUAGAGUCAUCUGUUCUUUUCCUUUUCCUGCUCCUCUCCAUAUGAGCAGAGUUUCCUGUGUGUACCCGGUUUCCACAGCUGGUCCUUGCGUCUGGCGGGAUUAACUCAGCCUUUGGUUACAUUGACACCAACCAGGGCUGGCCAUUUGUGUGUCCAGUGCGUCUUGCACCUGGGCCUUUUUGUAAAUAGUUGUUUUAGGUAAGUUUUCCUUUGCGUCUUGCGGUGGCGGCUGAUGUCCCAGGCAGCGUCUGGUACCAGGACUUUUUUAGAUGGUAAGGAUUUUAUUUUGUUUCUUUAUGACAGGCAACAGCAGGAGUGGUUGUCCUGUUACUGUUGUAAAACAUGAAUAAUAUAUAAGGUUUACUUAGGUUAGAGUUUAGAAUUAGAGAAAACCUUUUUAAUCCCAGCAAGUGAGGACAGGAGGAGACAUCAGCAGAGGGCAGAGACCAAAGAAGACUUCUCCAUCAACCAAAACAAUGUAAGCAAAAACACUGAACACACAUUUAAUGUAAAAAUAAACUUUACUUUUUUUAAAAUGUCUGUAAAAUG
rnacentral:lncRNA from 1 species